AGAGUUUGAUUCUGGCUCAGAACGAACGCUGGCAGCGUGGAUUAGGCAUGCAAGUCGAACGUGAAUCCGCUUGUUCAAUUCUCACGAAGAGAACGGCGGAGGAAAGUGGCGGAAGGGUGAGGAACAAGUGAGUAACCUGCCGCGGAGUUGGGAAUAACCAGGCGAAAGCCCGGAUAAUACCGAAUGUGGCGGCAUGCGGCAUCGUAUGCUACUAAAGACAGGGACCUGGAGCUUGCGAAGGGCCUGUCGCUCCGUGAGGGGCUCGCUUCCUAUCAGCUUGUUGGUGAGGUAACGGCUUACCAAGGCGACGACGGGUAGCUGGUCUGAGAGGAUGGUCAGCCACACUGGGACUGAGACACUGCCCAGACUCCUACGGGAGGCUGCAGUCGAGGAUCAUUCGCAAUGCGCGAAAGCGUGACGAUGCGACGCUGCGUGGAGGAUGACGGCCUUCGGGUUGUAAACUCCUGUCAUUCGGGAAAAACCGCGCGAGGGUGAAUAGCCCGCGCGCCUGAUGGUACCGAAAGAGGAAGUCACGGCUAACUCUGUGCCAGCAGCCGCGGUAAUACAGAGGUGGCGAGCGUUGUUCGGAUUCACUGGGCGUAAAGGGUGCGUAGGUGGUUCCGUAUGUCGGGUGUGAAAGCUCACGGCUUACCCGUGAAAUGGCACUCGAAACUGCGGAACUAGAGUACGGGAGAGGAGAGCGGAAUUCUUGGUGUAGCGGUGGAAUGCGUUGAUAUCAAGAAGAACACCUGUGGCGAAGGCGGCUCUCCGGAACGAUACUGACACUGAGGCACGAAAGUCGGGGGAGCAAACAGGAUUAGAUACCCUGUAGUCCCGACCCUAAACGGUGUACACUUGGUGUGGGGGGAGUUGAUCCCCUCCGUGCCGCAGCCAACGCGUUAAGUGUACCGCCUGGGGAGUACGGCCGCAAGGUUAAAACUCAAAGAAAUUGACGGGGGCCCGCACAAGCGGAGGAGCAUGUGGCUUAAUUCGAUGCAACGCGAAGAACCUUACCAGGGCUUGACAUGCAGCUGCAGGCCCCGAGGAAUCGGGGCGGCCUUCGAGGGUGCUGCACAGGUGCUGCAUGGCUGUCGUCAGUUCGUGCCGUGAGGUGUUGGGUUAAGUCCCGCAACGAACGCAACCCUUGUGUCUAGUUGCGACCGCCGGUGAUGAGCCGGCGAGCACUCUAGACAGACUGCCCGUGUAAGCGGGAGGAAGGUGGGGAUGACGUCAAGUCAGUAUGGCCCUUACGCCCUGGGCUGCACACGUGCUACAAUGUCUGGUACAGUGGGCGGCAAAACCGCGAGGUGGAGCCAAUCCAUAAAACCAGCCCCAGUUCGGAUUGGAGUCUGCAACUCGACUCCAUGAAGUUGGAUUCGCUAGUAAUGGCGCAUCAGCUACGGCGCCGUGAAUACGUUCCCGGGCCUUGUACACACCGCCCGUCACAUCAUGAAAGCUGUCUGCACCCGAAGUCGCUUUUUCCGACCCCUCGGGGAGGAGAGUGCCG
rnacentral:rRNA from 1 species